CAGCGGUGAUGAACAUUCAACUGUGACCGAAGACGCUUGUCGUCAGUGACGGUACACAACCCUCUAAGAAGUUCUGAGCUC